GGCUUGUUGAUAAUAAUUUCAAGUCUGACCUGCCCAAUGAGUAAUCUAUUAAAUGGCCGCGGUAUAUUGACCGUGCAAAGGUAGCAUAAUCAUUAGUUUUUUAAUUGGAAGCUAGAAUGAAAGGUUUGAUGAGAAAGAUUCUGUCUCUAGAAAAGUUUAUUAGAAUUUUAUUUUUAAGUGAAAAAGCUUAGAUAUGUAUAGAAGACGAGAAGACCCUAUAGAGUUUUAUAUUUGUAAAAAUUAUUAAAUUUUAAGGUGACAGAAUUUAUUUUUUAACCAAGUAUUUUAUUGGGGUGAUAGAAAAAUUGAGAUAACUUUUUUUGAUUUUUAACAUUAAUUUAUGAAUUUAUGAUCCUAUGAUUUAGAUUAAAAGAUUAAAUUACCUUAGGGAUAACAGCGUAAUUUUUCUUAGAGUUCUUAUCAAAAAAAAAGAUUGCGACCUCGAUGUUGGAUUAAAAUAAAUUGUUGGUGUAGAAGCUAAUUAAAUGAGUCUGUUCGAACUUUUAAA
rnacentral:rRNA from 1 species